CCUAAUACAUGCAAGUAGAACGCUGAAGAGAGGAGCUUGCUCUUCUUGGAUGAGUUGCGAACGGGUGAGUAACGCGUAGGUAACCUGCCUUGUAGCGGGGGAUAACUAUUGGAAACGAUAGCUAAUACCGCAUAACAAUGGAUGACACAUGUCAUUUAUUUGAAAGGGGCAAUUGCUCCACUACAAGAUGGACCUGCGUUGUAUUAGCUAGUAGGUGAGGUAACGGCUCACCUAGGCGACGAUACAUAGCCGACCUGAGAGGGUGAUCGGCCACACUGGGACUGAGACACGGCCCAGACUCCUACGGGAGGCAGCAGUAGGGAAUCUUCGGCAAUGGGGGCAACCCUGACCGAGCAACGCCGCGUGAGUGAAGAAGGUUUUCGGAUCGUAAAGCUCUGUUGUAAGUCAAGAACGAGUGUGAGAGUGGAAAGUUCACACUGUGACGGUAGCUUACCAGAAAGGGACGGCUAACUACGUGCCAGCAGCCGCGGUAAUACGUAGGUCCCGAGCGUUGUCCGGAUUUAUUGGGCGUAAAGCGAGCGCAGGCGGUUUGAUAAGUCUGAAGUUAAAGGCUGUGGCUCAACCAUAGUUCGCUUUGGAAACUGUCAAACUUGAGUGCAGAAGGGGAGAGUGGAAUUCCAUGUGUAGCGGUGAAAUGCGUAGAUAUAUGGAGGAACACCGGUGGCGAAAGCGGCUCUCUGGUCUGUAACUGACGCUGAGGCUCGAAAGCGUGGGGAGCGAACAGGAUUAGAUACCCUGGUAGUCCACGCCGUAAACGAUGAGUGCUAGGUGUUGGAUCCUUUCCGGGAUUCAGUGCCGCAGCUAACGCAUUAAGCACUCCGCCUGGGGAGUACGACCGCAAGGUUGAAACUCAAAGGAAUUGACGGGGGCCCGCACAAGCGGUGGAGCAUGUGGUUUAAUUCGAAGCAACGCGAAGAACCUUACCAGGUCUUGACAUCCCGAUGCUAUUUCUAGAGAUAGAAAGUUACUUCGGUACAUCGGUGACAGGUGGUGCAUGGUUGUCGUCAGCUCGUGUCGUGAGAUGUUGGGUUAAGUCCCGCAACGAGCGCAACCCCUAUUGUUAGUUGCCAUCAUUCAGUUGGGCACUCUAGCGAGACUGCCGGUAAUAAACCGGAGGAAGGUGGGGAUGACGUCAAAUCAUCAUGCCCCUUAUGACCUGGGCUACACACGUGCUACAAUGGUUGGUACAACGAGUUGCGAGUCGGUGACGGCAAGCUAAUCUCUUAAAGCCAAUCUCAGUUCGGAUUGUAGGCUGCAACUCGCCUACAUGAAGUCGGAAUCGCUAGUAAUCGCGGAUCAGCACGCCGCGGUGAAUACGUUCCCGGGCCUUGUACACACCGCCCGUCACACCACGAGAGUUUGUAACACCCGAAGUCGGUGAGGUAACCUUUUGGAGCCAGCCGCCUAAGGUGGGAUAGAUGAUUGGGGUGAAGUCGUAAC
rnacentral:rRNA from 1 species